ACAAGCAUUACACAGGGGAUCUUUGUAAAAUCAGACUCUGAUUGAGUCUGACUGAGGGGAGGCCAAGAGUCUGCAUUCUAUCAGGCUUCAGAUGAUGCAGCU
rnacentral:pre_miRNA from 1 species